AACUAUAUGUUAUUAUAUAUAGCUAUUCCUGCUCAAUGAUUUUAAAUAGCCGCAGUACCCUGACUGUGCAAAGGUAGCAUAAUCAGUUGGCUUUUAAUUGGAGUCUGGCAUGAACGGAUUUCUGGAAAGUAACUGUAUCUUAUUUAUUUACGCGAAAUUAAUUUGUAAGUGAAAAUACUUACAUCUUUAGAGAGGACGAGAAGACCCUAGAAAUUUCUUUUAUUUUGUUGGGGCGACAGAAUUACAAUUAAACUAAUUUGAAUUAACGUGGCGUUAUUACAGUUCGAUUAAAUUACUCUAGGGAUAACAGCAUAAUUUAACUAGUUUGUGACCUCGAUGUUGGACUAGGACAUUAAUGGUUUAGAAGACCUUUAAUAGUGCUCUGUUCGAGCAAUAUUUCCU
rnacentral:rRNA from 1 species